rnacentral:rRNA from 1 species
UGGGGAAUUUUGCACAAUGGGGGGAACCUUGAUGCAGCGACGCCGCGUGAGGGAUGGAGGCCUUCGGGUUGUGAACCUCUUUCGCUCGUGUGCAAGCCGCUAUUUGGGUAGUGGUGAGUGUAGCGGGUAAAGAAGCGCCGGCUAACUACGUGCCAGCAGCCGCGGUAAUACGUAGGGCGCGGGCGUUGUCCGGAUUUAUUGGGCGUAAAGGGCUUGUAGGCGGUUUGUCGCGCCUGUCGUGUAAUCCUCUGGCUUAACUGGGGGUGUGCGGUGGGUACGGGCAGGCUUGAGUGCGGUAGGGGAGAUUGGAAUUCCUGGUGUAGCGGUGGAAUGCGCAGAUAUCAGGAGGAACACCGGUGGCGAAGGCGGGUCUCUGGGCCGUUACUGACGCUGAGGAGCGAAGGCGUGGGGAGCGAACAGG